rnacentral:rRNA from 1 species
CCGUUAGCUGUGACGUUAGCAACAGAAGAAGGACCGGCUAACUCCGUGCCAGCAGCCGCGGUAAUACGGAGGGUCCGAGCGUUAAUCGGAAUUACUGGGCGUAAAGCGCACGCAGGCGGUUUGUUAAGCUAGAUGUGAAAGCCCUGGGCUCAACCUGGGAAUUGCAUUUAGAACUGGCAGGCUAGAGUUUUGGAGAGGGGAGUGGAAUUCCAGGUGUAGCGGUGAAAUGCGUAGAUAUCUGGAGGAACAUCAGUGGCGAAGGCGACUCCCUGGUCAGUAACUGACGCUCAUGUGCGAAAGUGUGGGUAGCGAACAGGAUUAGAUACCCUGGUAGUCCACACCGUAAACGCUGUCUACUAGCUGUUUGUGGAUUUAAUCCGUGAGUAGCGAAGCUAACGCGAUAAGUAGACCGCCUGGGGAGUACGGCCGCAAGGUUAAAACUCAAAUGAAUUGACGGGGGCCCGCACAAGCGGUGGAGCAUGUGGUUUAAUUCGAUGCAACGCGAAGAACCUUACCUACUCUUGACAUACUGAGAACUUAGCAGAGAUGCUUUGGUGCCUUCGGGAACU